rnacentral:rRNA from 1 species
GAAGGGGAAACCUGAUCAGCCAUGCCGCGUGCAGGAUGAAGGCCUUCGGGUUGUAAACUGCUUUUGUACGGAACGAAAGGUUCUGCCCUAAUACGGUGGAAAUAUGACGGUACCGUAAGAAUAAGCACCGGCUAACUACGUGCCAGCAGCCGCGGUAAUACGUAGGGUGCAAGCGUUAAUCGGAAUUACUGGGCGUAAAGCGUGCGCAGGCGGUUAUAUAAGACAGAUGUGAAAUCCCCGGGCUCAACCUGGGAACUGCAUUUGUGAUUGUAUAGCUGGAGUACGGCAGAGGGGGAUGGAAUUCCGCGUGUAGCAGUGAAAUGCGUAGAUAUGUGGAGGAAUACCAAUGGCGAAGGCAGCCCCCUGGGAUAACACUGACGCUCAUGCACGAAAGCGUGGGGAGCAAACAGGAUUAGAUACCCUGGUAGUCCACGCCCUAAACGAUGCUGACUAGUUGUUCGGGAUUCUAUCCUGAGUAACGUAGCUAACGCGUGAAGUCAGCCGCCUGGGGAGUACGGUCGCAAGAUUAAAACUCAAAGGAAUUGACGGGGACCCGCACAAGCGGUGGAUGAUGUGGAUUAAUUCGAUGCAACGCGAAAAACUUAACU